CACAAUUUUUUGCAUACUAUUUACUGAAUUAAUGCAGCAGAAGUUAAACAGCAAGUGCCAGGUACAUGUUAAUUACAUGUUUAAUUAACAUUUAGAUUCAACUUACAGCAAUUUAUAUUAUUUUUUGUUUAAAUUUCGUAUUAAAUCGCGACUUAUGCAAACCAUGAAAACCAAAUUAACCUUGACUUUGAAAAUUAAAACAACAACACACAUACUGGCGCGUAUACAUACAUGUAUGUAUGUGUGCAGUAUAUAAAACAAACAACGCAAAGUAAAGCAAACAAACAAACCGCGAAAAUAAGCAAAAGACGAAUACGAAUGUUGAAAAAAAUAAGUAAAAACAAAAUCAAAAUGACUAAACGAUGUGUAAAACCUGAAGUUUGAGUAGCUGUGUGUGAAGUGGGCGCGUCGUUGGGGCGGGGCACGGGGGCAGAAGUAUCCAAAGGUGGUUAACAGCAGAUAAACAGUUUUUAUGUUUAGCUUUGCUUUACUUGUUUGUCAUGCAUUUUACAUUUUUACAUGUGUAAAAUGCGAGUUGGGAUAAUAAUAAUGCUGUUUUGUAUUAUCGUUGGGUUCACUGCUGAUUCUGAUAUAUUAUAUUAGCACUACAUGAGCUUUUCUGAUUUCAAUAUGUAUGUAUGAAGUGUAUAUAGUUGAACCACAAUUAUAGUUGCACACAUUCUAACAGCAGACAACUGUAUAAAUAUAGAAUAUGCAACAAUCACUCAUAACAAUUACGAGCGCGCCAAGUCGUAAACAAAAACAACAUUCUGAUGAAUUAAAAACAACUUGUAUACAUGCUGGGCGCAAGAAUGGUGAAGGGAAGAAAGAGGGAGAGCAUGAAGCCCCAGUUGUCAUAUUCGUGUUCUUAUUGCGAUAACGGCAUACAAGAGAUCAACAUAGAAAUACAAGCGACUCCCCCCCACACAAGCCGCAACAUAACAAUAACAAGUGACUGAGUGGGUGAGUGAGAGAGAGAGAGACACACACAUACUUUAAUGCACACGCCAUUGCGCCCAGCACGAAAACAAUGCGAGAGCAAAGAGCGAGGGUAGAGAGCGAGUGCGAAUGCGUUUCAACAAAACUAACUGUUGCUGCAUUUUUGGUCUUCGCCUGUAUGUUUACCCUUUGGUUGACCUUGAAAGCUUUUUUUCGUUGCCGAAGCCGAGACUUGUUUAUGUACAGACUGCAGUUGUUAUUGUGGCUCCUGGUGGUUGCAUUUUCAAUGUCAUGCAAAGAAUAACAGAAAAACAACCAGCACCUGGUUUGUUCUCGCUCUUGCAUACCCUCUUUACUCUUAACUCCCCACUCUUCGCUUCGCAUGCACAGACUUCGUUCGCUGGAACUUUGUUUUUGUUGUGCACUUUUUUUUUCUACUUUUUAAGCCUUUGGUUUUGUAUGUUGUUUUGUUAUUAUUCGUCGCCGGCUUCAUAUCAAGUGUCUGGCCAUGACGUAAUCUUAAAGCAUGUGCAGAGCGUUUAAUUUAGAAGGGGUGGACAGGCGGGUGAUGAGAGGCACGUCUACUUACAAAUGUGUGUGAGUGAGUGAAUGACUGAGAGAGUCUGUGUAAAGACACUACUAUCCCGCAUUGUUGACUUUUAAAAAGCAAAAGCUCAAAUACUCGUACAUAAUUCGCAACCCACGACAAUUAACCGACAUUGAUUUUGAAGGCAGCCAGACGUUGUUGACGCGAAAGAUGUGCUUGUGUAUGUGUAAGUGUAGGUGUGAGCUGUUGUUGUUUAUUUUCUGUCAUAACCCAUUCAUAAGCGAAAGUCUGUUAAGCCGCCCCACACUCACACACAUGCACACGUUCGUGGAGCAUAUCUUACUCUGUUAAACUAGAAAAGACCAGUAGCAAAUAGAGAGAGAGAGAGCGAACGCGCGAGAAUGAGAGCAAGAGCAGCAGACCAUAGACAAUGUUAAGGGCGCUUUUUGGUGGUGCUGCUGAGGCUGACUGCUAACCUCUGCUGCCUACGUGACGCAGCUCACACAAAUAAGAAUAGCCACUAGAAUCGCAAUAAUGUAAAUAUGUCUUAUAAUUUGAGUGAAUGCAAAACACAGCAGCAACAAUGUCAUACAAAUUGUAAACAACAACAAUGCGGAACAACACAAAGAGCAGCCACCUUUGAUGAAAUGCUAUAUGUACCAUAACACUUGUAAGUCUGCUUACACAUACUUUAAUACAUAGAAGUGUACAUAUGGAUGUUCUUACAUGUUGACAAGCGGAGAACCACACCCGCCAACACUUUUCGCUUUCUGGAAAGUGCGUGAAUACAAUGUAUGUAUGUAUGUAUUGAGUAUAAGCAGUUAGUCAGCAGUAGAAGGCUACGCAGCGCUGUUAGUUAACAGCAAAGGUCGUUUAAGUUCAUAACAGAGGCACAACUACAAACUACAAACCAAAUACAAAAGGGGAAGAUUAGUCAAAACAUGCUUAACAGCGACGCGACCACGCCUACUUGGCCAAACAGCUUAUCUAACAGAGUACUUUUUGGCUUUCUAUGUUCGCUUUGCGCUCGCUAGCUUGAUUUUUGUUGUGCUCACCUUUUUUCUGCUGUUACAUAUACUCACGCACACACACUUGUAUACUGUGAGUCUAGCGUAUAUGCUUUGCGCCGGUUUGGCACUCGCACACAAUUGCAAGCUGAUACCGUAUAUACAACUGCAUCUGUAUGUAUAUACUAGCGCUCUCCGCACACUCUUACACUAAUACACACACGCAUACAAUCACUCAGAAGUAUAUCGGACUGGGUUGGCCACAUGGCGGCUACGUUGUCGCCUUUCAGUUAAUUUUGAAGCGCCGGCCGCGACAGACGUUAACAGCGCCACGUGAAUUUUUUGUGCAUUAAUGAAAUUACUUGAACAAACUUCGAGGCACUUUUUGAAUCAUCAGCACAUAAUAUAAGCAAUACUAAUUCAUUCGACAAAAGCGGCUACUACGACGACGGUUUUCAAAGCGAUAGAGAGCAAAAAAGCACAACAAAGCUUUGACAAGUGCAAGUGCAAGCAACAACAACAACGACGACAACUUAUGUGCUUUUCGUUUUACAGUACUACAAGGAUUAUGUGACUUUAGCAAAGAGAAACCCCAAAGCAAGGGCAAGAAAGAGAGUGAAAA